rnacentral:lncRNA from 1 species
UUUAAUUUAAGAUGAUUCAAUUGGUCAAUCGCCUUGUUAUUCUCAAUCAAUUCUUCUGGGCCUCUCUGCAGGAUUGGAAAAAGAAUCCUUAUCCCUGUUGAGAAACUCUUGUAUGGUCUCAUGACCAUAAAAUAGUAUUUGGUCAACCAAUCAAAAUUUGACAACUCAUAUUAAGAGAGAGAAAAUUGUCAAUGAAAAGCAAAGAGACAAAAUCAGAUUCACUCCUCCACCACCGCCUACCUCCUUCACCAGCGACCACCACGAAUCGUCCACCUCCCAUCACCUACCACCAUCAAUCUUCGUUCCCAUCCUUUCUCCACCACACGUCAGCCCUCGUGUUUCCGGCACCAUCGACGUUGAGAAAUAUGGUUGAUACCGGAGAGGAAGAGAGAUCUGAGAGUGAGAGAAGAGGAUAACAUUGUCGGUGGCGUCGAUCUCUAACCAGAUCAAAAU